UUACAAACCAACUCCACGUUGAUGGUUGGUUCCUUUUUGCCUUUUGGAGAACCAGAGCCAGCGUGAGAAGUCCAGUUGAUGAAAAACUGAUAUCUUUACUGAAGCCUGCUUGUGCCUUAUGAACAGUCCUGAGGAAACAGCUAUUGCAGAGCAGGAGACACGCUGCGUGAGCAGGCUCCAACUGUUCAUCGUGGUUUUGACCUGCAGGAUUUCAUUGGGUAGCAUAAGGGUCAAUCUAUCUCUUAGACCUGGCCCAUCGUGUGGUUACGACUGAGUCUGUCUGUCUGUCUGUCCCCAGCCCUGCUGCCUCCCUGCCCCAAGGAUGAGGAAAUGACUCAGCUAACCUGGACACAACUUGCUGGCGUAUCCACAAGAAGCAAUCAGCAGUUACGGUCUCCUGAGCAAACCGUUACUCAUCAGCUGUUGACCCUGUGACCAAGAGAAGCAUUGACAUGGCUCCAAAGGAAUUCCC